rnacentral:rRNA from 1 species
UAGGGAAUCUUCCACAAUGGACGAAAGUCUGAUGGAGCAACGCCGCGUGAGUGAAGAAGGGUUUCGGCUCGUAAAACUCUGUUGUUAAAGAAGAACAUAUCCUGAGAGUAACUGUUCAGGUAUUGACGGUAUUUAACCAGAAAGCCACGGCUAACUACGUGCCAG